CUCUCAGCCAAAGAGGGCUGGGAGAAGUUAAGGAGGCUUCUCUGACCAGAAGAAGAAGUUGGAAAACAUCUUUCAGCUGAUGGGGAGAAGAUCUGAGGAUGUUUGCUUACCUGAGGUAUAAAAGAGAACAUAGGGGGCUUUCAACUGAAUGGGAGAAAUGGGGGGGAUGGGGCUCUUUCACCCAAAUGGAAAUGAAAGUUGAGCAACCUCUCUCUGGGGAGGGAAGGGAGGAGAGGAGAAGGGAUCAAAGUCUCAGGAGGAAAAAAGGAGCACAAGAGUUAGCCUCUCUCAAGUGCAAGGGGUGACAACUUCACCAAAGGGAGAAGGAUGAGGGCUGGCUGACUCACCAACGGGACAAAUUGGAUGGGUCUCUUCUCUCAGGACCACUGAUGCAUCUCCCCUCCCAUAACCUUCUUUCUUCCACAGCUGCCUCCUGUUGUUGCUUCGAGCUCCUCCAUGUCAGGCCCUUGAGAGAGUCUCAACAAAGGUGCAGCAAUCUUGUAAAGACCACAAAUUCACAUGGCUGGGAGCAUGGGUCCUGCUGUGUGGGACAGGCCCUCAACCUGCUGAACCCACAGCAGUUCCUCUCAGCACCGGGAAUCGAGACAAAUGCACUACUCACCAGCAGGGAGUGGUGCUCCAGCCCUGGAGCAGCCAUGGAGUCAGCACCUUUGAGUGGCUGGUUUCUCUGUGUCUCAGAGGUGGCAGCCCUUGAAGUUGACAGAAAAGACUUCACCUUGCAGGAUAAGGGGUAACCUGAAAUAUGUCAUAAAUGCCAGUAGCAAAGAUGAAAUGCUUGGCAUUACCUCAAGAUCUUGCAGAGAGAAAUAUGUUUUCAACAGUGACAGGUGUAAAACAAUCAGCUUGAGAGGUUCCUGUGAUGUCUUCUUCAAAACAAAUUCCUCUGAAAGAUUUCCAUGAAGCCUCCCCACAAACAACAGUAAACAACACCUCUCACAGAACUUCAGGUAGCUGCUAAAGUACAAGUGUGGAAUUACUGAAUGGGAAAAGCGAGAAAUGGGAAAAAUUUGUUAUGUGGCUAAGUACUUGCAUAUCAAACAAUUAAACUCCAAUUAUAUUUGUUUUGCUUUUACUAAUGUACUCUAUCAAAUAGCGAGAAAGUACUAGUAUGAAAAAUGUUGAAAAAUAAGUGAUUAGAAGGAAACCUGCUUCCUGCCCUCCCACUCCCUUUUCCCCUCCCCCGCCCCAAAAAAGCCACAGUGGUCUCCUGAAAUGUCUAGCUUUUCUUAUUUUUCCUUUCAGUGGCAUAACAAGAGGAGAUAGCAGCCCUGGAUUUUUUUUUUUUUGUAAUGGCAGCAGAAAAAAUCUGUGACAAUACAUUGUGUGUAUGUGUACGAGAUAUAGGUAUUGAGUAUCAGUCAGAUAAUGGUCAUCUAAGUGCUCCUGUUUCCAACGAUCUUCUCAGAACUUGCCAGAUAUCUAUCGCACAUUUGCAAAUGCAAGUAAGAUCAAUUUUUGUUGAGGAUCCAUUUCCUAGACAAGAAGUACCGGCCAAGAAGACAUACUGUUCCUGAUGGUGAUGGUUGGUGCAUUAGUGUAUCAUGAAUUUCCAACAAACAAAAUCCCACACCUUAGUAAAAAUGUACGAUACAAUCACUCCUCUGUUAGCUUCAUCACUUCCACAUUAUUAAGAAACUAUGAUGUAGCUGUGCCAGAAACAACU
rnacentral:lncRNA from 1 species